rnacentral:lncRNA from 1 species
CUGCCCCCCGCCCCCUGCGCCGCCGCUGCCAACCCGGAAGGAGCCCGGAGGGGCCCGGGCGGCCAGGGCGCCCCCGCCAGGAGGCCCGCCAGGUGUCCACCUGAGCCCCACGCCCUGCGCCGCGGGGCCCUUUUGGGGGCGGGGUGCCAGCUCCGAGGUGUCCUCCCACGGGCUGUAGACUGGGAAACUGAGGCCCGGGCCACGGUCCCAGACGCAGCCGGGACCCGAACCCACCUCACCUGAGCGAAUGAUAUCCGGGACUCAUCCUUUUUCGACACCUUUGCGGGAUCCAGCCCUCCAAGGAAAGCUUCCUGAGCAGUGCGCGCCACGUGUAUUGGGCACCUCACCGCGGCCACUUCACAUCCUAUCUCAGGUGGAGAAACUAAGCCACAGAAAGGAGCUGUCAUUUACCUAAAGCACCGUGGCAGGGGUUUGGCAGAGCCAGGAUUUGUACCCAGAUCGCCUGACUUCGGAGAGUAACAGCUCUUAACCACAGCACUUCGGUCUAUGCCUUGAUUUCACCAUAUGUAACAAGGGACAAGAGCUUGCCGUGUUGCCCCAGGCUGGUCUCAAACUCCUAGCCUCAAGCAAACUUCCUGUCUCGGCCUUUCAAAACCCUGAGAUUACAAGCAUAAGAAAAGAAAAUCUUGUAAGAUGAAAGCUGAAGGAUGAGAGCAAUUAAUUGAUGAAGUAUGAUGAUCCAGGUGUCCCUGGGUGAAGAAACAACCUCUACAAAGGCCCUGAGGGUCUCGCUCAUCACCAGGCUGGAGUACAGUGACAUGAUCAUGGCUCACUGCAGCCUCAACCUCCCGGGUUCAGGCUAUCCUCCCACCUCAGCCUCCCAGGACCACAGGCGUGUGCCACCAUGCCCAGCUAAUUUUUUGUAGAGAUGGGGUUAUGCCAUGUUGCCCAGGCUGGUCUCGAGCUGCUGGGCACAAGCAAUCUACCCAUCUCAGUCUCCCAAAGUGCUGGCAUUAUAGUCGUGAGCCACUGUGCCCAGCCAACAGCGUCUUUCAAAGAGCAGAGAGAGGUUAAUUUUGAUGAUGUCCAGUUUGCACCUUUGUUGAAAAUUGACCAUAUAUCUGUGAGUCUGUUUCUAGACUCUUUGUUCUGCUUUAUUAAACUACUUGUCUAUUUGUACACCAAUGCCACACUGUCUUCAUUGCUGUGCCUUUGUAAUAAGUUUUAAAGUUAGGUCAUUUAAGUCCUUUAAUUUUGUUCCUCUUUUUCAAAGUUGUUUUGACUAUUCUAAGCUUUUGCAUUUCCAAUACAUUUUGUAAUCAGCUUGUAAAUUUCUACCAAAAAAGCCUGCUGAGACUUUGACUGAAAUUAUGUUGAGUUUGUAGAUUAAUUUGGGAAGAAUUGACAUAUUGACAGUAUCGAGUCUCUCAACCCAUGAACAUGGUAUACCUCUCCAUUUAUUUAGACCUUUAGAGCUUUUUCUCAGAAACAUUUUGUAGCUUUUUUUUUUUUUUUUUGAGACGGAGUCUUGCCCUGUCACCCAGGCUGGAGUGCAGUGGCACGAUUUUGGCUCACUAUAACCUCUGCCUCCCGGGUUCACGCGGUUCUCCUGCCUCAGCCUCCCAGGUUCACGCGGUUCUCCUGCCUCAGCCUCCUGAGUAGCUGGGAUUACAGGCAGGCGCCACCAUGCCCGGCUAAUUUUUGUAUUUUUAGUGGAGACGGGGUUUCACCAUCUUGGCCAGGAUGGUCUCGAUCUCUUGACCUCGUGAUCCGCCCGCCUCAGCCUCCCAAAGUGCUGGGAUUACAGGCAUGAGCCACCACGCCCAGCUUGUUUUGUAGCUUUAAUUGUAUAGGCCUAACAUACUUUUUUGUUCUGUUUAGUCUAUUUCAUAUUUUUAUGCUACCGUAAAUAGUAUUUUUUAAAAUUUCAAUGUCCAGGUGUUUUUUGCUAGUAAUAUAUUUUUUAUGUUGAUCUUGUAUCUUUCAACCUUAUUAUACUCAUUUAUUAGUUCCAGCAGCUUUUUUGCAAAUUCCAUCAGAUUUUUAACUUAGAUGAACAUUUUUUUUUUUGCAAAUAAAGGCAACUUUUCUUCUUUAUAUCAAAUCUGAAUUUUUUUUAUUUCCUUUUCUUGUCUGAUUAUAUGGGCUAGAAUCUCCAAUACAAUGUUGAAUAGAAGUGGUGAGAGUAGACAGACCUGUCUUGUUCAUGAUCUUAGGGGAAAAACAUUAAUGAACCCUAAUGUUCAUUAUAGGGUUUUGUUUGGUAGAUGCCUUUUAUUAGGUAAGAAGAUUCCCUUCUAUUCCUGGCUUGCUUAAUUUUUUUUUUAACAAUCAGGAACGAAUCUUGGAUUUUGCCAAAUGUUUUUUCUGCCUUUAAUGAAAUGAUCUGAUCAUUUUAAUUGUUUAGUCUGUUAAUACAGUGAAUUACACUGAUUGAUUUUCCAGUGUUAAAGCCACUUUGCAGUCCUAGGAGAAAUCCCACUGGUUGUGAUGUACAGUUGUCUUCCCUUAUCCAUGGGGGAUGUGUUCCAAGACCCCUAGUGAAUGCCUGAAACCUCAGAUAGUACCAAACCCUAUAUACACUAUGUUUUUUCCUGUACAGACAUACCUAUGAUAAAGCCUAAUUUAUAAAUUAGGCACAGUAAGAUAUUAACAAUAACUAAUAAUAAAAUAGAACAAUUAUAACAAUAUACUGUAAUAAAAGUUAUAUGAAUGUGGU